AUCUAUAUAUCAUUAAAUCAAAUCAAAAACCUUCUUCUCCUCACCAUUCUUCUACUUUUUCUUCAGCUUCUACAUCGAAACACAGCACCACGAGAGACUUUGAGCCAGUGGCUGAAAAAAGAGCAGCACAACGUCCAGCGGUGCUCCCGAGAAGUGAGUUUGCACGUUGGAGAUGGGUCCGGGAGGUGGGUAAAGUCUGGGAGGUGGUACUGGUGGUGGGUCAUGCUCAUGUCCAUCGCUCGUCGGUGCGGAUCGUGUCGUUGAGGAAGAGAACGAAGGGCACUAGGGACUGGGGAGUGCUCUUCUACUUUCAUUCGCUCAUCCGUGCCGUCAUCUGGAUUUUAGGGGCUUAUAGAGCAUUGUAUCUUUUAAACUAGAUUUAUCACUUCUUUGCGGAGAAUGUAGUUCGCUGGAUUGCCGUGAAAAAUUUGGCGAAGUUCGCGCCAAGCUGUGGUGGGAAGAGAACCGGGAAAAAAAUUCAAGCUCAGUACCGUUGAGUCAAACACAAGGGAGAAGAGGAAGGAGGUUAUGAGUAAGCUGGAAUUUUUAGAGAAAGCAUACGAGGAGCAGAAGCAGCAGAAUCAGUACAUCCUUUCUCUAUUAGAAUCUCGAGGUAUCCAGGUAAACUUUGAGACAACUCCUCGUAUUUCUCAUGCUCCUGCUAGGACUGGAGAGUCUGCUUCGAUCUCAUACCCCUCACACUUCAAAGGAUGUUGAACAGCCUCAGCCUGUCGAUGAUAUUGCAACAAAAUGAAUGUGGUGUUUUGGAUUAUUACAUUAGAUACUUGGACUAUUACAUUUUGUAUUUGUUUGUUAUAUUAGAUGUUUGAACUAUUAUAUUUUGUAUUGCAUUGUUAUUCUAGAUAUUUAUCUAUCAGAAUGUUUAUUUUGAAAAAUAUUAUAAAAGUUAUUAUU